UAGUCCACGCCGUAAACGAUGUCUACUUGGAGGUUGUGGCCUUGAGCCGUGGCUUUCGGAGCUAACGCGUUAAGUAGACCGCCUGGGGAGUACGGUCGCAAGAUUAAAACUCAAAUGAAUUGACGGGGGCCCGCACAAGCGGUGGAGCAUGUGGUUUAAUUCGAUGAUACGCGAGGAACCUUACCUAGGCUUAAAUGUAGAUUGACCGUCUGUGAAAACAGAUUUUCCUUGUGACAAUCUUCAAGGUGCUGCAUGGUUGUCGUCAGCUCGUGCUGUGAGGUGUCGGGUUAAGUCCCAUAACGAGCGCAACCCCUAUCUUUAAUUGCCAGCGAGUAAUGUCGGGGACUUUAAAGAGACUGCCUGUGUAAACAGAGAGGAAGGUGGGGAUGACGUCAAAUCAUCACGGCCCUUACGUCUAGGGGCUACACACGUGCUACAAUGGGUAACUACAG
rnacentral:rRNA from 1 species